GGAAGAGGAUCGCACCCCGGUUGGGGCGCUCGGACUUCAAAUCCGGUGAGGGGCGUUAGACGUGCCUGGUGGGUUCGACUCCCACCCUCUUCCGCCA
rnacentral:tRNA from 2 species